rnacentral:rRNA from 1 species
CCCAGACUCCUACGGGAGGCAGCAGUGGGGGAUAUUGCACAAUGGGGGGAACCCUGAUGCAGCGACGCCGCGUGGGUGAAGAAGCGCCUCGGCGCGUAAAGCCCUGUCAGCAGGGAAGAAAAUGACGGUACCUGAAGAAGAGGCCCCGGCUAACUACGUGCCAGCAGCCGCGGUAAUACGUAGGGGGCAAGCGUUAUCCGGAUUUACUGGGUGUAAAGGGGGCGCAGACGGCAAUGCAAGCCAGGAGUGAAAGCCCGGGGCCCAACCCCGGGACUGCUCUUGGAACUGCAUGGCUGGAGUACAGGAGGGGCAGGCGGAAUUCCUAGUGUAGCGGUGAAAUGCGUAGAUAUUAGGAGGAACACCAGUGGCGAAGGCGGCCUGCUGGACGACAACUGACGGUGAGGCGCGAAAGCGUGGGGAGCAAACAGGAUUAGAUACCCCCGUACGG